rnacentral:misc_RNA from 1 species
GAUGAAGAACGUAGCGAAAUGCGAUAAGUAAUGUGAAUUGCAGAAUUUAGUGAAUCAUCGAAUCUUUGAACGCACAUUGCGCCCUAUAGUAUUCUGUAGGGCAUGCCUGUUCGAGCGUUAUUGAGACCUCAAGCUCUGCUUGGAAAUGGGCGCUUGUCUUGCCUUGCAGACUCGCCUUAAAACCAUUGGCAGCUGAUUUACAAUGUUUGGUGCACAGUACAUGAGCCCAAGUGUUGCAAUGAGUGGCCCAAAAGUAUACAAUAGAAGCUUAACCUCGGAUCAGGUAGGGAUACCCGCUGAACUUAAGCAUAUCAAUAAGCGGAGGA